rnacentral:pre_miRNA from 14 species
AAGUCUCCACCACCUCCGUUGCAAAUGUCCAGUGAUGCAGUGGUAAUGGACAUUGGCUCUGGUAGUGAAGAACA